rnacentral:rRNA from 1 species
UACGAAGGGGGCUAGCGUUGCUCGGAAUUACUGGGCGUAAAGAGCUCGUAGGCGGUCUGUUGCGUCCGCUGUGAAAACUCGGGGCUUAACCCCGAGCCUGCAGUGGAUACGGGCAGACUAGAGGUAGGUAGGGGAGAAUGGAAUUCCCGGUGUAGCGGUGAAAUGCGCAGAUAUCGGGAGGAACACCGGUGGCGAAGGCGACUACCUGGCCUGUUCUUGACGCUGAGGCGCGAAAGCUAGGGGAGCAAACGGGG